GACAAAAAUCUGAAAAAAAUCAGAGAUAUUUCUAUUCACGAGGCACAUAUUAUAGUAGCUUUGCUGUAAAAAAUCAAAAACCCCAAAUAAUAUUCUAGGUCUUUUCUUUAUCAUUGAAGUCAGACUUUACAUAAUUGCACUGAAUUGACGAAUAGGUCGAGCAAGGGUCAAUUGCAUUAUUCAAGGAAGCUGGGAGUCAUCCGUGUAUCUACAGCGAUUAUGAUAAGCUAGAACAAGCGUCGAAGGGCGUCAAGGCACGUGCAGUGUCUAAUGACCCAUCAGUGUCCAGCUAAUCGAGGAUUCCUCUUAGGGGAGCCUCUCCAUUCAGAAAGCAGGGGCACGUGCCUCCCUAUUAACUUGAAAACGUAUCCAUAAUGGUGGAACAAUCAAUUAAGGGAAUGAAACCUCACCUAAAGAGAAACAAAGCAACGAGUCAAAAACGAGACGUAAACCCCGUAUCUUCGGUAUGAUAAGAAGAGAAGGGGGCGAGGAAGGUAGGAGGAUAAAAGAGAAGCUCGAAUCAAGGGGCAGAGGGUCAUCUGAGCGACGAUAGCUCAUCUCGUGGUAUCUUCCGCGUGAGCCAAUCGUCGCCUGGUAUCUCGACCUCGUCAACGUCGUCGUCGCAACGUUCUCCAACCUCCACCUCCUCCCUCCUCGACACCGGAAGUACAUAUAGAAUUGCAAUUUCUACACGCAGUGGCUAAGAUUCCUUCAUCUAUUUUAUUCGACUUCUGAAUUCAUUUUAUUCCAACUACGAUCAUUUCAGGGUCGAUGAUUCCUGGUUAUCGAAUGAAAGAGAGAGAAGCAACGUUAUCGUGUUUACUAUAACGCGAAUACUCGGUGUUUCUCGAAGAAGUCGAGGCAGGUUCGACCGAAAACACCAACGGGAAUUACCUAACCAGAUAAUUUCGAGGAGGCCCGACCGUGUUCCCGCCUUUUGAGCCAAGGAAGCGGAAUUUAGAAGGCGAUAAGGGAAUCGAGUACAAAUUGAGCGAGAUUCUUGGAUGCUCUUCUCCAUGAAAUUAAUUACAGGAGGAAAGAAUAAGAUUGAUCAAGUUUAGAUAAGAAUCAUCAGGAUGAUUACUGUUAGUAGAGUGAUAUACACUGGUGGAAUUGAUUCUGGACACUUUGAAUGAAAAUAUUCUUUAUUUCAUAUUUGUGCGGAAAAUUUAUAUUCUGCUAUACUAAAUUGAUACCGUAAUAUUUUUAUUGUAAUCUAUGAUGUUUAUACUUAAUAUUCUCACAUGAUUUGGUUUGUAAAUGUUUGAAAAUUUUUAUUUAAAAAAAUCUAAACUGUGUUUGCGCUUGGCAACACGGAACGUCGUAUGAUGUGAAAUAGCCAAUCACAGGAUGAAAGAAUAUCCAACGAAAUAUUAAUUUCUUUCUACCUCCUUUGAUGCGUUGAAAUUGUAAUUUUUAUUGUAUAUUAAAAGUAUGACUGUGAAUGGUUUUUUUACUGACUUUUUUAUAUAAGUCCUAAAAUUAGAAAACAAUGAUUAGAAUAUAAAAUAUGAAUGAUUAUAUAUUAAAUAAUUUGAAUAAAUGCGAAAUUUAAGUAAAAAAUAUUAAGCAAAAAUUUAAAAGUGUCCAGAAUUAAUUCCACUAGUGUAGAUCCUCUAGGACAGUGUUUCCCAACGUGGGGCCCGCGCCCCACAGGGGAGCAAUUUGAUUGUUAAGGCUGGCAAUUCAAAAAUGGACUCCUCCAGAGUUUAAAUUAAUCGUAUGGCGAC